AGGCAGCUCUCCUCUGGCAGGCAGGCGCGCGGUCAUCGUCGCCAUCGACGACGGUUGCUUGGCUCUGCUAUGCUGUGUUCGUUCGUCCAUGGUGUGCUAGCUAGCCGUGCAUGCAUUGCAGUGUAACAUGCGUGCAUGCACGCGCGUACGUCCUGCCAAAGGAGAGUUGCCCUGC